CCUACGGGAGGCUGCAGUGAGGAAUAUUGGUCAAUGGCCGAAAGGCUGAACCAGCCAAGUCGCGUGAAGGAAGAAGGACCUACGGGUUGUAAACCUCUUUUAUAGGGGAACAAAGGUAGUCACGUGUGGAUCAUUGAAAGUAACCGAAGAAAAAGCAUCGGCUAACGCCGUGCCAGCAGCCGCGGUAAUAAGGCGGAUGCGAGCGUUAUCCGGAUUUAUUGGGUUUAAAGGGUUAGCAGGUGGAGGUUAAAGUUAGCGGUAAAAUGUGGGGGCUAAACCCCGUAUUGCCGUUGAAACUGCAUCCCUUGAGUGUGUGUGAGGUAUGCGGAAUGCGUGGUGUAGCGGUGAAAUGCAUAGAUAUCACGCAGAACUCCGAUUGCGAAGGCAGCAUACUGGGGCCUGACUGACGCUGAGGCACGAAAGCGUGGGGAUCGAACAGGAUUAGAUACCCGAGUAGUC
rnacentral:rRNA from 1 species